UCCUACGGGACGCAGCAGUGAGGAAUAUUGGUCAAUGGGCGAGAGCCUGAACCAGCCAAGUCGCGUGAAGGAUGACGGCCCUACGGGUUGCAAACUUCUUUUGUCAGGGAGCAAUUGAGUCCACGUGUGGGCUUAGCGAGAGUACCUGAAGAAAAAGCAUCGGCUAACUCCGUGCCAGCAGCCGCGGUAAUACGGAGGAUGCGAGCGUUAUCCGGAUUUACUGGGUGUAAAGGGAGCGUAGACGGUUACGCAAGUCUGGAGUGAAAGGCGGGGGCCCAACCCCCGGACUGCUUUGGAAACUGUAU
rnacentral:rRNA from 1 species